rnacentral:rRNA from 1 species
CAGUAUAUUUUAUAAAAAAUUAUAUACUUUGGCGGCGCCAAUUCUUAUUAAAGGAACUCGUUUGUUAAUCGACAACACUCGUUAAUUUUUACUCGCCUUAAUUAGCUUAUAUACCGCCGUCAAAAUUAUUUUUAAAAAUAUAAUUUAAUUCACCUAAAUAAUGUCAGGUCAAGGUAUAGCCCAUAAGCAAGAACAAAUAAGUUACUAUAAAAUUAAUUUAUAGAAACAAAUUAAAUUUACAUAAAAAAGGAUUUAACAACAAUAUUUUACUAUUAAUUUAAUAUGAAAUUGUUUUAACGUGC